rnacentral:misc_RNA from 1 species
GUAUUACGUUAUACGUUACGUAUAGCGUUAUAUACUAUUACGGUAAACAAUAUUACGCUAUAUAGUAUUACGUUAUAUAGUAUAGCGUUAUAUACUAUUACGCUAUACAAUAUUACGCUGUAUAGUGUUACGUUAUAAUGAAUUACGUUAUAUAGUAUUACGUUAUAUCGUAUUACACUACAUUAUUAUUAUUAUUGUUGCAUAGUCCGUGCCUUUCGGCUUUGGACGAACUUUCGGUUUUACAUCUCUUAUGUCUUCUUCAUUCCUUUUAUAUAGUCUGCAUCUUUUUUCUCCCUCUUCCUUCCAGUAUUCCCUUGCUUUGGUCUCG